rnacentral:ncRNA from 1 species
UUUAAUGCGAUGAAGGGAAGAAGUAAAUUAGUGGAAGUUUAAAGAGAGGAAUUCUUAGUAGCUGAGAGGAAUUCUAAAGGAAAACUAGUUGAAUGCAUUCUGGAGCACUAAGUUGAAAAGUGAAGUAGGCUUAGCAGGUGUGCCUGAUACAGCACAAAGAGAUGUUAUGUAUAAAUAUAAUGCAUAAUAAAUCAGAGUGGAACCGCGGGAAUAUUCUGCCUCUGUU